rnacentral:lncRNA from 1 species
UUUUUCUUAUUAAUAAAAAAUAAAUACCUCACUUUUGUCUUUUAAAAUAAUAAUAAAUAUAUCAAUAUAAUAGUCUACUUGUACAAUAAAUCCAAUACAAGUUAUAUAAUUAAAUUACAAAGAAAGAAUAUUAAUUAAAAAUAUAAAAAAUGAUAAAUAAUUUGUCUUGCUUUUCUUGUGAAUGUAAGAGUCAUCCUUAAGCAAUAACUCGCCAUCAUCGCAAGGCAACAAUUAGCCACCAUCGCAAGGCAACAAUUAGCCACCAUCCCAGAGCUAGUUCCACCAACGGAGACUUAGUGCCACAAGCAAAGACCUAUAGCAACAACAAAAAGCUAGAGCAGAGAGUAACUAAAGCAUCAACAAAAAGUUAGAGCAACCAAUAAAUCUCAUGAAAUCGUGCAAGAUUGUAUAAAAAGUUCAAAUUUGUCAUUAAUUAUAGAUUCAAAAAAUGUGUUUAUAAAUGAAGAAAUUUAUAUUGAUAAAGGGUUGAAAUUUUUUUCAAAAAAAUAGAGAGAAAGAACAAGAUGAUAUAAAGAAAACUCACAAAGAAGCAUUAAUUAGACAAUGUGUUUGAAAUUAGUAAUUAACUCUUAUAUCACUUUUAAAUAUUUUCAUUUUUGUAUAAUGAUUUUCCAUGAUCAACAAUUUUUUUUUCUCUCAGCAUAAGCUUCAUCGUGAUUGAAUGUGAACUCCUCAGAAUCGCACUUGAGUCACCCCGAAAUCUCAUUUGCGUCAUCGUGAAAUCAUACUCAAAUGAUGAGAUUCAAAAAAUAACCACAAUCUUAAUUUCAAUAAUACAAUGAAGAUAUAAGGAAUUCACUUCAAUGAUGCACUCUGAAUUACAAAUGCUCCAAUACAAUUAGAGAGGACCGUUCACUACUACAAACCACACAUAUAAAUAGAUAUAGAUCACAAAAAUGACUUCCAAAAGCACCACAAUUUCUACGGGAAAGAAGAAACAUUAUACUUUAUUUAAAUAAUUUUAUGUAUAACAAUUUUUGGAUGGAAAAUAAACAAGUUGAAAAUAUUUAUAAUAGUAUUUAAUUUAGUUAUUAUAACAACUAAUUAUUUUUUAUCUCUAAAAUUGAUUUUUAUUUAAUAUUUUUCUAGUAGUGUAAUUAAAGAAGUAAGCAAUUAAAAGGAUAGAAACAAAAAGCAAAUAAUGAGCUUUAUAAAAUAUUGAGUCUUAUUUUAAGAAUAUUUUUUCAUAUAUUUCAUAUUAAUAAAAUUAUGCAAACAAAUUCGACCUUGUAAUUUUUAUGAAGCUUUAAUUUUGUUUUUCUAAUUGAAUGCACUCUAUUAACACAGGCUCAUCAAUUUGACUACAAUUUUCAAACUCUCCUAUGAUGUUUUUGUAAUUCUUUAAAAUAUCUAAAAUCUCAACAAUAAAGUAUCCAAAUCCAAAUACAUCAAUAGGGAUCAUUAUUUCUCCAACCUUUAUAUAUUUAAUCAUUCAUCUCCAUAUUUCAUCAUGUAUAUAACAUAUAUCUCAUAAAUAUAAAACUUUUCAUUUUACUUUUUUUAUUAUAUAACUGAAAGUUAUUUUUGUCUUUAAAAAAGCCAUAGGAUUAUACAAUCUAAAAGUAAAAAAUAAUUUUCAAAUUAUCCAAUAUAAAAACCUAUUUUUAAGUAAAAAUAGAAGUUAUGAAUGAUUUAAUCUAGAAGUUAAAAAUAAAUUUCAAAUUCUACAAUCUGAAAGUUUUUCUAUAUUAUGUAAUCUUGAAAUCUCAACUUUCAAAUUAAAUAAUAAAAAAAUAAAAAAUAGAAAUUUACAUAUUUAUAAAAUAAUUGUAGGAUGAAAAUAGGGGAUGAAGAACGAAAUAACCCUUAAUGGUUAGUGAUGAAAAAGGGUAGAAAAGGGGAAUUAUGUUGAAGAGAAAAAAAGAUGGAGGAUUUGAAAAAGAAAAGAAAAAGAGAGUGUAGUAGUAAAUAAUGGGGUGGUGAAAACAGCGACUACCCAAUUUUGUAACCUAAACACUGUUUGUUUGAUUGGGUAGUGUAACGUGGUAUUAUUUGAUGUUGGGCUACUUUGUUUACCUUGUUUUCAUUUGAUCAUGUUCCUGCCUUUGUUGCAACUCCGAAAUAAAAAGAAUGGGAGAAAAGAUCACUAGUAGAACUUCUCUAUCAUAAUGAGAGUCCAAAUUCUCAAUGAAAGAUUGGAAGGGUUAGAUAUAUGAUUAAUAUAGUCUGAUACACAACUUUGUAAUUAAUUUUUA